rnacentral:rRNA from 1 species
AACGUAGGAGGCAAGCGUUAUCCGGAGUUACUGGGCGUAAAGCGCGCGCCGGCGGUUGGGUAAGUAAGCGGUGAAAGGUCCAGGCUCAACCUGGGGAAGGCCGCUUAGACUGCCUGGCUAGAGGCAGAUAGAGGGACGCGGAAUUCGGGGUGUAGCGGUGAAAUGUGUAGAGAACCCGAGGAACACCAGCGGUGAAAACGGCGUCCUGGGUCUGAACUGACGCUGAGGCGCGAAGGCGUGGGGAGCGAAUGGG